rnacentral:rRNA from 1 species
UUUGAUGGCGACCGGCGCACGGGUGAGUAACACGUAUCCAACCUGCCGAUGACUCGGGGAUAGCCUUUCGAAAGAAAGAUUAAUACCCGAUGGCAUAGUUCUUCCGCAUGGUAGAACUAUUAAAGAAUUUCGGUCAUCGAUGGGGAUGCGUUCCAUUAGGUUGUUGGCGGGGUAACGGCCCACCAAGCCUUCGAUGGAUAGGGGUUCAGAGAGGAAGGUCCCCCACAUUGGAACUGAGACACGGUCCAA